rnacentral:rRNA from 1 species
UACGGAGGGUGCAAACGUUGCUCGGAAUCAUUGGGCGUAAAGCGCACGUAGGCGGCCUGUUAAGUCGGGUGUGAAAGCCCUGGGCUCAACCCAGGAAGUGCACUCGAAACUGGCGGGCUUGAAUAUGGAAGAGGGUCGCGGAAUUCCCGGUGUAGAGGUGAAAUUCGUAGAUAUCGGGAGGAACACCAGUGGCGAAGGCGGCGCACUGGACCACUUCUGACGCUGAGGCGCGAAAGCUAGGGGAGCAAACAGG